AUUGAACGCUGGCGGCAGGCCUAACACAUGCAAGUCGAGCGGAUGAAGGGAGCUUGCUCCUGGAUUCAGCGGCGGACGGGUGAGUAAUGCCUAGGAAUCUGCCUGGUAGUGGGGGAUAACGUCCGGAAACGGGCGCUAAUACCGCAUACGUCCUGAGGGGGAAAGGGGGGGUUUUCCGGACCCCCGGCUACAAGUUAGCCCUAGGUCGGAUUAGCUAGUUGGUGGGGUAAAGGCCUACCAAGGCGACGAUCCGUAACUGGUCUGAGAGGAUGAUCAGUCACACUGGAACUGAGACACGGUCCAGACUCCUACGGGAGGCAGCAGUGGGGAAUAUUGGACAAUGGGCGAAAGCCUGAUCCAGCCAUGCCGCGUGUGUGAAGAAGGUCUUCGGAUUGUAAAGCACUUUAAGUUGGGAGGAAGGGCAGUAAGUUAAUACCUUGCUGUUUUGACGUUACCAACAGAAUAAGCACCGGCUAACUUCGUG
rnacentral:rRNA from 1 species